AAUAACCAAAUAUCACACUUGGGCUAAGGGUCAAGUUGGUAAUUUUUCUGACAUCUCCGCCCCUGGUGCCCAGGUAUCAUAUAUGCCUCCAAAAUAUAGAGCAUUGAGUACUAGAAUAAAAAGCACCUAUACCUAAUAAAAUUAAGUGAAUACCCAAAAUUGUAGUCAUUUUAUUUUUAUCUUUCCA
rnacentral:antisense_RNA from 13 species